rnacentral:rRNA from 1 species
CAAGUCGAGCGGAGAUGAGGUGCUUGCACCUUAUCUUAGCGGCGGACGGGUGAGUAAUGCUUAGGAAUCUGCCUAUUAGUGGGGGACAACAUUCCGAAAGGAAUGCUAAUACCGCAUACGUCCUACGGGAGAAAGCAGGGGAUCUUCGGACCUUGCGCUAAUAGAUGAGCCUAAGUCGGAUUAGCUAGUUGGUGGGGUAAAGGCCUACCAAGGCGACGAUCUGUAGCGGGUCUGAGAGGAUGAUCCGCCACACUGGGACUGAGACACGGCCCAGACUCCUACGGGAGGCAGCAGUGGGGAAUAUUGGACAAUGGGGGGAACCCUGAUCCAGCCAUGCCGCGUGUGUGAAGAAGGCCUUAUGGUUGUAAAGCACUUUAAGCGAGGAGGAGGCUACUGAGACUAAUACUCUUGGAUAGUGGACGUUACUCGCAGAAUAAGCACCGGCUAACUCUGUGCCAGCAGCCGCGGUAAUACAGAGGGUGCGAGCGUUAAUCGGAUUUACUGGGCGUAAAGCGUGCGUAGGCGGCUUUUUAAGUCGGAUGUGAAAUCCCCGAGCUUAACUUGGGAAUUGCAUUCGAUACUGGGAAGCUAGAGUAUGGGAGAGGAUGGUAGAAUUCCAGGUGUAGCGGUGAAAUGCGUAGAGAUCUGGAGGAAUACCGAUGGCGAAGGCAGCCAUCUGGCCUAAUACUGACGCUGAGGUACGAAAGCAUGGGGAGCAAACAGGAUUAGAUACCUUGGUAGUCCAUGCCGUAAACGAUGUCUACUAGCCGUUGGGGCCUUUGAGGCUUUAGUGGCGCAGCUAACGCGAUAAGUAGACCGCCUGGGGAGUACGGUCGCAAGACUAAAACUCAAAUGAAUUGACGGGGGCCCGCACAAGCGGUGGAGCAUGUGGUUUAAUUCGAUGCAACGCGAAGAACCUUACCUGGCCUUGACAUACUAGAAACUUUCCAGAGAUGGAUUGGUGCCUUUGGGAAUCUAGAUACAGGUGCUGCAUGGCUGUCGUCAGCUCCUGUCCUGGAAAUGUUGGGUUAAGUCCCGCAACGAGCGCAACCUUUGUCCUAUGUUGCCAGCACGUAAUGG